rnacentral:tRNA from 1 species
UGGGAUGUAGUUCAAUGGGUAGAACGCUCGGCUGUUAACUGAGUAAUGCGAGUUCGAAUCUCACCGUCCCAG